UACCAGCACCCCGAGUGGUCGGGACGAUUAUUGGGCCUAAAGCAUCCGUAGCCGGUCAUGCAAGUCUUCCGUUAAAUCCAGCCGCUCAACGGUUGGCUGCGGAGGAUACUACGUGGCUAGGAGGCGGGAGAGGCAAGCGGUACUCAGUGGGUAGGGGUAAAUCCUUUGAUCCAUUGAAGACCACCAGUGGCGAAGGCGGCUUGCCAGAACGCGCUCGACGGUGAGGGAUGAAAGCUGGGGGAGCAAACCGGAUUAGAUGACCCU
rnacentral:rRNA from 1 species